rnacentral:rRNA from 1 species
GACGAACGCUGGCGGCGUGCUUAACACAUGCAAGUCGAACGGAAAGGCCCUGCUUUUGUGGGGUGCUCGAGUGGCGAACGGGUGAGUAACACGUGAGUAACCUGCCCUUGACUUUGGGAUAACUUCAGGAAACUGGGGCUAAUACCGGAUAGGAGCUCCUGCUGCAUGGUGGGGGUUGGAAAGUUUCGGCGGUUGGGGAUGGACUCGCGGCUUAUCAGCUUGUUGGUGGGGUAGUGGCUUACCAAGGCUUUGACGGGUAGCCGGCCUGAGAGGGUGACCGGCGACAUUGGGACUGCGAUACGGCCCAGACUCCUACGGGAGGCAGCAGUGGGGAAUAUUGCACAAUGGGCGGAAGCCUGAUGCAGCAACGCCGCGUGCGGGAUGACGGCCUUCGGGUUGUAAACCGCUUUCGCCUGUGACGAAGCGUGAGUGACGGUAAUGGGUAAAGAAGCACCGGCUAACUACGUG